rnacentral:rRNA from 1 species
CGACGAGUGAAGCGGGAAGAGCUCAAAUUUGAAAUCUGGUGGUCUACGGCCGCCCGAGUUGUAAUCUAGAGAGGUGUUUUCCGUGCCGGACCGUGUACAAGUCCCUUGGAACAGGGCGUCAUAGAGGGUGAGAAUCCCGUCCAUGACACGGACUCCCGGUGCUCUGUGAUACACCUUCAAAGAGUCGAGUUGUUUGGGAAUGCAGCUCAAAAUGGGUGGUAAAUUCCAUCUAAAGCUAAAUACAGGCGAGAGACCGAUAGCGAACAAGUACCGUGAGGGAAAGAUGAAAAGAACUUUGGAAAGAGAGUUAAACAGUACGUGAAAUUGUUGAAAGGGAAACGCUUGAAGUCAGUCGCGUCCGCCGGGACUCAGCCUUGCUUUUGCUUGGUGCACUUCCUGGUGGAUGGGCCAGCAUCGAUUUUGAUCGCCGGACAAGGGUGGGAGGAAUGUGGCAGCUUGCUGUGUUAUAGCCUCCUGUCGUACACGGUGGUUGGGAUCGAGGACUGCAGCACGCCUUUGGUCGGGGUUCGCCCACGCCACGUGCUUAGGAUGCUGGCGUAAUGGCUUUAAACGACCCGUCUUGAAACACGGACCAAGGAGUCUAACAUGCCUGCGAGUGUUUGGGUGUYAAACCCAUGCGCGUAAUGAAAGUGAAAAGUUGGGACUCUUUAGUGAGGCACCGACGCCCGAUCCUGACGUUCUCUGACGGAUUUGAGGCAGAGCAUGUAUGUUGGGACCCGAAAGAUGGUGAACUAUGCCUGAAUAGGGUGAAGCCAGAGGAAACUCUGGUGGAGGCUCGUAGCGAUUCUGACGUGCAAAUCGAUCGUCAAAUUUGGG